UGGGGAAUAUUGCACAAUGGGCGGAAGCCUGAUGCAGCGACGCCGCGUGGGGGAUGAAGGCCUUCGGGUUGUAAACUCCUUUCGACAGGGACGAAGCUUUUGUGACGGUACCUGUAUAAGAAGCACCGGCUAACUACGUGCCAGCAGCCGCGGUAAUACGUAGGGUGCGAGCGUUGUCCGGAAUUACUGGGCGUAAAGAGCUCGUAGGUGGUUUGUCGCGUCGUCUGUGAAAUUCCGGGGCUUAACUCCGGGCGUGCAGGCGAUACGGGCUGACUUGAGUGCUGUAGGGGAGACUGGAAUUCCUGGUGUAGCGGUGAAAUGCGCAGAUAUCAGGAGGGACACCGAUGGCGAAGGCAGGUCUCUGGGCAGUAACUGACGCUGAGGAGCGAAAGCAUGGGUAGCGAACAGGAUUAGAUACCCUGGUAGUCCAUGCCGUAAACGGUGGGCGCUAGGUGUAGGGGGCUUCCACGUCUUCUGUGCCGUAGCUAACGCAUUAAGCGCCCCGCCUGGGGAGUACGGCCGCAAGGCUA
rnacentral:rRNA from 1 species